CAACCCUUGUCCCUUAGUUACCAGCACGUUAUGGUGGGCGACUCUAAGGAGACUGCCGGUGACAAACCGGAGGAAGGUGGGGAGUGACGUCAAGUCAUCAUGGCCCUUACGGCCUGGGCUACACACGUGCUACAAUGGUCGGUACAAAGGGUUGCCAAGCCGCGAGGUGGAGCUAAUCCCAUAAAACCGAUCGUAGUCCGGAUCGCAGUCUGCAACUCGACUGCGUGAAGUCGGAAUCGCUAGUAAUCGUGAAUCAGAAUGUCACGGUGAAUACGUUCCCGGGCCUU
rnacentral:rRNA from 1 species